UUGAUCCUUGUUAUAAAUGAAAUUUUCAUAGUUGUGAAAGAUUGCAGCAAACUUGCUUGUUAGCCUUAAUCAACAUCGGUAACGUCUACCUUGUCGCCAACAAGUCUAUCAUACAUGUAUUGCUUUGGCUUUGACUAAAUAUGAAAAUACAAAAAAAAAACCAAAACAGUCUUUCCCAAAGUCGAACUUAGAGCAUCAUUAACGGGGUAUGCAACUCCCGUCUCUUAGUAUUAAUUGGUUAACAAAAAAAAAUUAGCAUAAUUAUGAGGAAACAUAUCUUAAUUAGGGGAAAUAAGAAACGCCUCUUCUGAGACACGUGUUGUCUUUUUGGUUGUUCUUGUGUGUUUCUCUCUCUCCACGGAAGAAAAUCACCGCAUCUCAAACCCAUCGACGGAAGCAAACCCGUGCCUCUAUCGAUAGAUCGUAAUCGAAUUGGGGAGGUGUAGAGGAACCGAUCAACAUGGGUAACACAGAUAAGCUGAUGAAUCAGAUAUGUGGAUUUGUAUGAUUGUUUGAUUUUUUCUGGGUAGAGAGAAAGGUUUUGUAUGAUUGUUUGACUGUUUCUGGGUAGAGAGAAAGAUAUGUGGAUUUGUAUGAUUGUCUAAUGAAUCAGAUAUGUGGAUUUGUAUGAUAGGUGAAUGUGGAUUUGUAUGAUUGUUUCUGGGUAGAGAGAAAGGUUUUUUCUUUAUGGAAACCCAAGAGGAAAGUAGCGUCAUUUAGUCUUAAGGUUCAAUCUUUGUUACGUAUAGGCCUCGGCGUUCGGGUCGGGUUUUUUGGAUUUCGGUUCUCUUUUAUAACAUCUCCUAGGUCCCAUUCUAGUAAAUUUGCAAGUACGGAUCGGGUUCGGAUAUAACACAUUGGGUUCGGGUCGGUUUUGUAUCACAUCAUAGAACCCAUAAAGUAAUCAUAUAUCAUUCGGAUUCGGGUUAUAUCAGAUCGGUUCGGAUAUACCCGAAAUAAAAUCUAAAAUUUAAAAAUAAAACAUAAGAAAUAUAUAUUUAUUUAUAUAUAAUUAAGUAUUUAAGGUAGUUAUUUAAAUUUUAAAUACUUAUUAUUAGAUAACAUAUCAAAAUAAAUAUGAAAUUGAAUAUUUGAAGUAUAUAUUCAUGUUUCAUAUAAUUAUAUUGUAUAUUAUUUUGGACAUUCGGAUCGGUUUCUUCGGAUAUUUUUUCGGAUUUUUCGUUUUUUUUCGGUUUUUCGGGUUACCCGUUCGGGUUCGGAUAUGUUUUGUACCACCUUACAAAAUCCAUUCGGAUAUUAUUUACAUUUCGAACCGGAUACGGAUCGGAUUUUUCGGUUCGGAUUUUGGGUUACGGAUAUUAUGCCCAUGCCUAGUUACGUAGAUGACUUUGAAUGUAGCUUCUUGAUCUUACAGAGUUAAAGUGUAGGAAGAUUUUAAAAAAAGUAUGUGUUAUUUUGUAACGGAAAUAUUUGUGCUUUUGAUUGAACUGUCCCACUUGCAGAAGAUCUUUCUCCUUUGCCUGAAGCUGACAACGGUGGAGUUACUGUGACAGAAAGUUCGACUCCCAUUGCUGAAUCAGCUUCUUCCAAGACUAACAUUGCGUUGCAACCAAAAGUUUCAGAAAAUUCAGAAGAUGCUACCACUAGGGAUUGUUCAAUUCAGUAUCAAACAUCUGUUUCUCCUCUUCGAGAAAGCUCGACUCCCAUUGCCGAAACAGCUUCAUCCAAGACGAAUAGUGCGUUGCAACCAGAAGAUGCUACAACUAGGGCUUGUUCAAUUCAGUAUGAAACAUCUAUUUCUCUUUUAGGUGCGUUGCAAAUGGUCAAAGGCUAAAGUGUUUAGGUUUCAUUGCUCGAUAAGAAGAUAUGUCUCCUCCUCUGCCUGAAGCAGACAAAGACGGUGGCGUUAUUGUUACAGAGAGUUCAACUCCCAUUGCAGAGGCAGCUUUUUCCAAGACUAACAGUGGAUCUCAAAUAGAAGAUAUACAAAAACCAGAUGAUGAAUCUACAAAGCCUGUUACUCUCAGUGCAGGAACAACAUUGGUGAAUGUUCUACUCAUGAUCUUCCCAGUAACGAUGAG